rnacentral:rRNA from 1 species
CUAUCAUUAACUGAAUCCAUAGGUUAAUGAGGCGAACCGGGGGAACUGAAACAUCUAAGUACCCCGAGGAAAAGAAAUCAACCGAGAUUCCCCCAGUAGCGGCGAGCGAACGGGGAGCAGCCCAGAGCCUGAAUCAGUGUGUGUGUUAGUGGAAGCGUCUGGAAAGGCGCGCGAUACAGGGUGACAGCCCCGUACACAAAAAUGCACAUGCUGUGAGCUCGAUGAGUAGGGCGGGACACGUGGUAUCCUGUCUGAAUAUGGGGGGACCAUCCUCCAAGGCUAAAUACUCCUGACUGACCGAUAGUGAACCAGUACCGUGAGGGAAAGGCGAAAAGAACCCCGGCGAGGGGAGUGAAAAAGAACCUGAAACCGUGUACGUACAAGCAGUGGGAGCACGCUUAGGCGUGUGACUGCGUACCUUUUGUAUAAUGGGUCAGCGACUUAUAUUCUGUAGCAAGGUUAACCGAAUAGGGGAGCCGAAGGGAAACCGAGUCUUAACUGGGCGUUAAGUUGCAGGGUAUAGACCCGAAACCCGGUGAUCUAGCCAUGGGCAGGUUGAAGGUUGGGUAACACUAACUGGAGGACCGAACCGACUAAUGUUGAAAAAUUAGCGGAUGACUUGUGGCUGGGGGUGAAAGGCCAAUCAAACCGGGAGAUAGCUGGUUCUCCCCGAAAGCUAUUUAGGUAGCGCCUCGUGAAUUCAUCUCCGGGGGUAGAGCACUGUUUCGGCAAGGGGGUCAUCCCGACUUACCAACCCGAUGCAAACUGCGAAUACCGGAGAAUGUUAUCACGGGAGACACACGGCGGGUGCUAACGUCCGUCGUGAAGAGGGAAACAACCCAGACCGCCAGCUAAGGUCCCAAAGUCAUGGUUAAGUGGGAAACGAUGUGGGAAGGCCCAGACAGCCAGGAUGUUGGCUUAGAAGCAGCCAUCAUUUAAAGAAAGCGUAAUAGCUCACUGGUCGAGUCGGCCUGCGCGGAAGAUGUAACGGGGCUAAACCAUGCACCGAAGCUGCGGCAGCGACGCUUAUGCGUUGUUGGGUAGGGGAGCGUUCUGUAAGCCUGUGAAGGUGUGCUGUGAGGCAUGCUGGAGGUAUCAGAAGUGCGAAUGCUGACAUAAGUAACGAUAAAGCGGGUGAAAAGCCCGCUCGCCGGAAGACCAAGGGUUCCUGUCCAACGUUAAUCGGGGCAGGGUGAGUCGACCCCUAAGGCGAGGCCGAAAGGCGUAGUCGAUGGGAAACAGGUUAAUAUUCCUGUACUUGGUGUUACUGCGAAGGGGGGACGGAGAAGGCUAUGUUGGCCGGGCGACGGUUGUCCCGGUUUAAGCGUGUAGGCUGGUUUUCCAGGCAAAUCCGGAAAAUCAAGGCUGAGGCGUGAUGACGAGGCACUACGGUGCUGAAGCAACAAAUGCCCUGCUUCCAGGAAAAGCCUCUAAGCAUCAGGUAACAUCAAAUCGUACCCCAAACCGACACAGGUGGUCAGGUAGAGAAUACCAAGGCGCUUGAGAGAACUCGGGUGAAGGAACUAGGCAAAAUGGUGCCGUAACUUCGGGAGAAGGCACGCUGAUAUGUAGGUGAAGUCCCUCGCGGAUGGAGCUGAAAUCAGUCGAAGAUACCAGCUGGCUGCAACUGUUUAUUAAAAACACAGCACUGUGCAAACACGAAAGUGGACGUAUACGGUGUGACGCCUGCCCGGUGCCGGAAGGUUAAUUGAUGGGGUCAGCGCAAGCGAAGCUCUUGAUCGAAGCCCCGGUAAACGGCGGCCGUAACUAUAACGGUCCUAAGGUAGCGAAAUUCCUUGUCGGGUAAGUUCCGACCUGCACGAAUGGCGUAAUGAUGGCCAGGCUGUCUCCACCCGAGACUCAGUGAAAUUGAACUCGCUGUGAAGAUGCAGUGUACCCGCGGCAAGACGGAAAGACCCCGUGAACCUUUACUAUAGCUUGACACUGAACAUUGAGCCUUGAUGUGUAGGAUAGGUGGGAGGCUUAGAAGUGUGGACGCCAGUCUGCAUGGAGCCGACCUUGAAAUACCACCCUUUAAUGUUUGAUGUUCUAACGUUGACCCGUAAUCCGGGUUGCGGACAGUGUCUGGUGGGUAGUUUGACUGGGGCGGUCUCCUCCUAAAGAGUAACGGAGGAGCACGAAGGUUGGCUAAUCCUGGUCGGACAUCAGGAGGUUAGUGCAAUGGCAUAAGCCAGCUUGACUGCGAGCGUGACGGCGCGAGCAGGUGCGAAAGCAGGUCAUAGUGAUCCGGUGGUUCUGAAUGGAAGGGCCAUCGCUCAACGGAUAAAAGGUACUCCGGGGAUAACAGGCUGAUACCGCCCAAGAGUUCAUAUCGACGGCGGUGUUUGGCACCUCGAUGUCGGCUCAUCACAUCCUGGGGCUGAAGUAGGUCCCAAGGGUAUGGCUGUUCGCCAUUUAAAGUGGUACGCGAGCUGGGUUUAGAACGUCGUGAGACAGUUCGGUCCCUAUCUGCCGUGGGCGCUGGAGAACUGAGGGGGGCUGCUCCUAGUACGAGAGGACCGGAGUGGACGCAUCACUGGUGUUCGGGUUGUCAUGCCAAUGGCACUGCCCGGUAGCUAAAUGCGGAAGAGAUAAGUGCUGAAAGCAUCUAAGCACGAAACUUGCCCCGAGAUGAGUUCUCCCUGACCCUUUAAGGGUCCUGAAGGAACGUUGAAGACGACGACGUUGAUAGGCCGGGUGUGUAAGCGCAGCGAUGCGUUGAGCUAACCGGUACUAAUGAACCGUGAGGCUUAACCUU